GAAGUUUCAUAGGAGGAAAGAUCUCUACAAAAUUAGAAACGAAGUUCAUGUCCCCAGCUUCCAGGCUGCUUGUCAGGAACACAAAAGGUGGCAUGUGAUAGCGAUGUAGGUUGUGAGUUUAGGAGAAAAUCACAGAGGGGCCAAGGAGAGAAGAUGCCAUGGAUCCUUGAAAACAUGAGAAUAAGUCAAGAGGAUGAUUCAACAUAGAAAAAACAUGGCAGCAGGGAUGUAAAGAGAGGAGACCGAGCAGAGCAGAGAAAUAGGGAGUACUCAGAGAAACAACAAUCGGACAUACUAAAAGUGAGCAGCCUUGCGUGUCACAAAGCAUUCAUGCCCUUCUUCAUGCUGACAAAGGGAGACUGGAUCCAGCUGAUGCAAUGUGCCCAGCAAAGAUAAGGAAUGAGAUGAGGCCGUCAGAGGGAAUCCUGGCUCUCAGUCAGUCAGCCAGUAUGUGACUGUCAACAGCAGAGAGUUUUAUGGAAG
rnacentral:lncRNA from 1 species